GAAAAUUUCUUGCUGUAAUGGAGACUCUUUUCAAAAUGACAUUACAGCUGAUGAUGUUCGAAAGGCUGCUCUGGAACUGAUUUCAAAUGUUUCUGUUCCAAAUCAUUCCACUUUUCUUGCUGGUUAUCUUUACUAUGAUUUGUGCCCAAGGCUUGUUGCAAAUGGACGGUUAAUAGAGGAGUGCUGAAAUGGUGAUCAUAUGCUAUCUUGAGGGAUCAAGAAUGUUUUGAUGCAUAGAGACACUAAGCUAUGUUAGAAUUUUUAUGUUUUGGUU